GUGAGUUGAACUAGUCAAUCUGCAAUGCAGCCUUUUUCACCAGUGGAUGGAUGGUAUUCAGCUGUCUUGGAUGAAGCAUAAUGGGGUUGUAAAAGCUGAGGAAUUCUGAGUCCAGGACGUUCGAUGAGUGUUGAAGUUGUCCUUGGUGAUGGCACAUGUCCUGGCUUGCCAGCCUGGCCCACAGUGAAGAAAUCCUCAACUCCCUCCAUGACAACU
rnacentral:lncRNA from 1 species